UGGCGAGUCGUCUAAUUGGCAGGACACUGGAUUCUGGUCCCAGCAAUCAAGGUUCAAUCCCUUGCUCGCCAG
rfam:Desulfovibrio bizertensis DSM 18034 genome assembly, contig: BR26DRAFT_scaffold00006.6